UACGUAGGGUGCAAGCGUUGUCCGGAAUUAUUGGGCGUAAAGAGCUCGUAGGUGGUUUGUCGCGUUGUUCGUGAAAAACUCACAGCUUAACUGUGGGCGUGCGGGCGAUACGGGCAGACUGGAGUACUGCAGGGGAGACUGGAAUUCCUGGUGUAGCGGUGGAAUGCGCAGAUAUCAGGAGGAACACCGGUGGCGAAGGCGGGUCUCUGGGCAGUAACUGACGCUGAGGAGCGAAAGCGUGGGGAGCGAACAGG
rnacentral:rRNA from 1 species